GACGUAGGGCGCGAGCGUUGUCCGGAUUUAUUGGGCGUAAAGAGCUCGUAGGCGGCUUGUUACGUCGACUGUGAAAACCCGCGGCUCAACUGCGGGCCUGCAGUCGAUACGGGCAGGCGUAGAGUUCGGUAGGGGAGACGUGGAAUUCCUGGUGUAGCGGUGAAAUGCGCAGAUAUCAGGAGGAACACCGGUGGCGAAGGCGGGUCUCUGGGCAACAACUGACGCUGAGGAGCGAAAGCGUGGGGAGCGAACAGG
rnacentral:rRNA from 1 species